GAAGGGCCACAGCUUAGUGAAAGGGCAUCUGCUUUGCAUGCAGAAGGUCCCAGUUCAAUCCUUGGCAUCUUCA